rnacentral:rRNA from 1 species
GGCGGUUUGUCACGUCUGCUGUGAAAGCCCGGGGCUUAACCCCGGGUGUGCAGUGGGUACGGGCAGACUGGAGUGCAGUAGGGGAGACUGGAAUUCCUGGUGUAGCGGUGAAAUGCGCAGAUAUCAGGAGGAACACCGAUGGCGAAGGCAGGUCUCUGGGCUGUUACUGACGCUGAGGAGCGAAAGCAUGGGGAGCGAACAGGAUUAGAUACCCUGGUAGUCCAUGCCGUAAACGUUGGGCACUAGGUGUGGGGAACAUUCCACGUUUUCCGCGCCGUAGCUAACGCAUUAAGUGCCCCGCCUGGGGAGUACGGCCGCAAGGCUAAAACUCAAAGGAAUUGACGGGGGCCCGCACAAGCGGCGGAGCAUGCGGAUUAAUUCGAUGCAGCGCGAAGAACCUUACCAAGGCUUGACAUACACCGGACCGCCCUAGAGAUAGGGUUUCCCUUCGGGGCUGGUGUACAGGUGGUGCAUGGUUGUCGUCAGCUCGUGUCGUGAGAUGUUGGGUUAAGUCCCGCAACGAGCGCAACCCUUAUCCUAUGUUGCCAGCACGUGAUGGUGGGGACUCAUGGGAGACUGCCGGGGUCAACUCGGAGGAAGGUGGGGAUGACGUCAAAUCAUCAUGCCCCUUAUGUCUUGGGCUUCACGCAUGCUACAAUGGCCGGUACAGUGGGUUGCGAUACUGUGAGGUGGAGCUAAUCCCUAAAAGCCGGUCUCAGUUCGGAUCGAAGUCUGCAACUCGACUUCGUGAAGUUGG